GAGGCUAUAACAUCUGUCAUCCCACUGAUUGCUAAGGUUGAUUCAGCUGAUCUGGCUGGCUAGGCAGGUGUCCCCUUCCUCCCUCAGAAGAUGACUGUCUCUGGUAGAAGAGGACCAGUCUUUGGUCAAGGGUUUACUGUUACAUGGGAAUUUGAUCACAGGAUUACUGUUACGUGGGAAUUUGAUCACAGGAUACAGAAACACCACAUUUUGAGAGGUUGAAUUGGAAGUCUUUAUUA
rnacentral:snRNA from 1 species